AUGGAUUACUCUUGACUAAAUGAGCAAAGGAACAGCUUUGAUGUCGGAGUCUGAGAGUUCUGUAUUGUCUGUUGUCUGCCACUAACCAUGCUUCACCACUAGAUGCCGCCAGAGCCCCGGUACCGAGGGUUAAGAGGUGCUGCCAAUUCCAAUCAUCUGGAGGGGUUUAAAAAGGGUUGGCUGUCAGCACUCCAGUGCCUGAGUGUUUGCCAUUGUGGUAACUUCUUCUGGACGACAACUGAAUUUUCACUCCAUUAAAGGUGUGGUUGUACUCACUCCUUCGUUGUGCUCCUUCCAGGUGAAUUCCAUGUCCUGGCUCCUGUUAGGAUCCUGUCGAAAACCCUGAACUCAAUCUUCCAAGAACCUCUGAAGAAUCAAGCUCCAGCUGGCACCCCAAGCUUCAUACUCCUAGACCUCAGGCAAGCGAACCUGCUCACCCUCCACCCAACCUCAAAUACACCGGGUGCUCUUCCACUGUAUGGACUGUCGUCAGUCGAACCCUCACCAAUGCGGUAACUACUUACCUUGGACCAGAUCCUCGACCAAGCGGCAGCUCUCGAUCCAACCUCUCAGGCUCCACAUCAAGCCUCCCUGGACAGACCUCCACUCCAACUCCUUUUGGUGUUUCCAGUCCUGAGUCCUGUUCCAUAAGUCAAACCUGCAGAAAAAAAACUUUUCUUUAGCCUCCUAAGUGUCUAUCUGCAUGUGGGUCAAAUCCGGGAAUAAAACCAUGGCAUUUGAAAUGUUUAAAUGUGAUAAAAUCAUAAUUUUUGUUUCAUUAUUAUUCAUGCAUGUUUAUGAUGACUUUAAAUAAAAAGCUACAGUUGUACUUGUGUCUUCAGAAUUACUGCUCUGAGAAACCUUAGAAACAGAAAUAUCCUGUAUUGUCCCUGAGUGAGGAACUUCAGGUGUACGAGCAUCAAAGUGACAUGAAAAAUGGACGAUUCUAGAUUCAAACAAAGGUAAAAAUAUAAAAAAAUUAAGAGAAAAGCUUUUGUGAAAUUCCAGCUGCUAUAGUCCGGUGGAUGUUUUCAGCUUUAGUGGGAAAUGAAAACAUUUGAGAUAAGAUAAACCUUAUCAACCACUGGGAGAAAUGUCAUUGAUGCCUGGGCAUCAGUGGGGCAACAGUAAAACCAUGCAGAUUUCAAUGAUAUAUGUACUGAUUAGAGUACUAAGAAUAAGAAAAUAGAGCAUUAUACAUUUUCAAAGGGAUUAAAAAUCCUUGAUCUUCUCCACAUGCUUUAAGAUCUGUAGACUGUAGUGUAUUUUUGUCAUGAUCAAUUGUUGUUUAUGGGGUUUAUUUAGCAUUUGGAUUAAUUUUGUUGUUUUUGUCAGUAAUGGUGUUCUGUAUUCAGUUAAUUGCUUUGUUUUGGGUUUCUUAGUUUUGUUGUGCAAUUUCCUUUGUGUCCUUCUCAGGUUCUCCCUCAGCUGUACUAUAUUCUCCUGAUCAGUCCAACCUGGUUCUCAUGCCACUCACCAGUCUUCCCAGUAGUUUAAAAGCCAGUCAACAUCUUACCACCUUACCUGGUCCUUCUAUUGUGUGUCUGCUGUUUGAUUCAUGUUGGUUUCCCUGUGCCCUAGUUGCUCCCCUCAUUCUAGUCUGUUAUUCAGCUCCUUGUACUUUUGUGAAAGUCUAGAGUAUAAAUGCACAAAAUUAAAUGGUUGUGAAGUCUUUUCAAAAAGAUUGUGUAGAAAUAUAGUUGCGUAAAUAUUAAAUGUUUGAAAUAAACAGUGUAAUUUCAA